GCUGGUGCUGGUGGUGGCCCUGACCGUGGCGGCGCUGCUGGCGCCGCCGGCGUCACGACUGUUCGCGGCGGGCGCGACCGCGCC
rnacentral:tRNA from 2 species